rnacentral:rRNA from 1 species
CCUACGGGAGGCAGCAGUGAGGAAUAUUGGUCAAUGGACGAGAGUCUGAACCAGCCAAGUAGCGUGAAGGAUGACUGCCCUAUGGGUUGUAAACUUCUUUUAUAAAGGAAUAAAACGUGGCACGUGUGCCUUUUUGCAUGUACUUUAUGAAUAAGGAUCGGCUAACUUCGUGCCAGCAGCCGCGGUAAUACGGAGGAUCCGAGCGUUAUCCGGAUUUAUUGGGUUUAAAGGGAGCGUAGAUGGGUCGUUAAGUCAGAUGUGAAAGUUUGGGGCUCAACCGUACAAGUGCAAUUGAUACUGGCAGUCUUGAGUACAGUAGAGGUAGGCGGAAUUCGUGGUGUAGCGGUGAAAUGCUUAGAUAUGACGAAGAACCCCGAUUGCGAAGGCAGCUUACUAAACUGUGACUGACGUUGAUGCUCGAAAGUGUGGGUAUCAAACAGGAUUAGAUACCCGGGUAGUC